GAUGAACGCUGGCGGCGUGCCUAACACAUGCAAGUCGAGCGAACGGACGAGGCUUUUGCUUCUCUGAUGUUAGGGGCGGGCGGGUGAGUAACACGAGGAUACCCUACCUAUAUGUCUGAGAUCACUUCGGGAAACCGGAGCUCACACCGGAUAAUAUUUUGAACCGCGGGGUUCAUAGGAGAGAGACGGUCUUGCUGUCACUAAUAGAGGGUUCCGCGCUGGAUUAGCUAGUUGGUAAGGUAACGGCCUACCAAGGCUACCAUGCGUGGCCGACCGGAGAGGGUGAUAGGCCACACUGGAACUGAGACACGGUCCAGACGCCUAAGGGAGGCAGCAGUAGGGAAUCUUCCGCAAUGGGCGAAAGCCUGACGGAGCAACGCCGCGUGAGUGAUGAAGGUCUUCGGAUCGUAAAACUCUGUUAUUAGGGAAGAACAGAUGUGUAAGUAACUGUGCACAUCUUGACGGUACCUAAUCAGAAAGCCACGGCUAACUACGUG
rnacentral:rRNA from 1 species